rnacentral:rRNA from 1 species
UGAGGAAUAUUGGUCAAUGGGCGGGAGCCUGAACCAGCCAAGCCGCGUGAGGGAAGAAGGCCCUAUGGGUCGUAAACCUCUUUUGUCAGGGAACAAAAGCGAGUAUGUAUACUAGUCUGAGUGUACCUGAAGAAAAAGCAUCGGCUAACUCCGUGCCAGCAGCCGCGGUAAUACGGAGGAUGCGAGCGUUAUCCGGAUUUAUUGGGUUUAAAGGGUGCGUAGGCGGCGAUGCAAGUCAGCGGUAAAAGCCCGGGGCUCAACCCCGGCGAGCCGUUGAAACUGCAGUGCUAGAGAAGGCGAGAGGUACGCGGAAUGCGCAGUGUAGCGGUGAAAUGCUUAGAUAUUGCGCAGAACUCCGAUUGCGAAGGCAGCGUACUGGCGCCUGACUGACGCUGAGGCACGAAAGCGUGGGGAUCGAACAGGAUUAGAUA